rnacentral:lncRNA from 1 species
GUGGUUUCAAAAUAUACAACGCGAUACCUCAUGCUUUGGACUAACUUGUAACCCUGACGGAAAUCGGUAAAAUUAACGGGAACUGAUGAAAGGACCAAAAUACCGUUGUAUAAAUAACCAAAAGCAUAUUGAACACAGUCAAAUUAUUCUUUCUCCAUUCUCUCUUCCUUCAGUCUAGCAACUUUCUUGGCCAAAACUUUUGCAAAAGAACAAACAUGCACCAGUUCACUCCUCAUUCAAAUUAAAAGCAUUACAGUAUAUUAAAAGCAUUACUGUUGGCCUGAGCCGCAGCAAAAGAGAAUUCUCCACAAAAAUGCUUCUCAAGAUCUUUGUACCAAAUCGAGGGGUCAUCUUCCUCGCCUAACAUAGUGAUACUAGCAUCUUCAUUGUUAAUAUUGCGGUUGCUAUUAUCAUCCCUGUUCAUACGUACAUAUUGACUCAAAGGUCGCCAACAAGCUGACACUGUUUUCCCCAACGACGAAGACAUGUUUCAUUUCCCUAUAUCUUCUUGGCUCCUGGCUUUUUUCAAGACUGAUGAUUUUAAGCCACCAAUCCCACUAAUUCCCUGGUAUCGUCGAAAUUCAAGGAAAGCGCAUAUAAAAUUUUGAUCAAGAAACAAAAACCCAGUAAGAAUUGUAGAGCUGAAAUUAAGGACUGGAGCAGUUACUGCAGCAAAAGAAGAAUUCAGGGGGGAAAUAAUAUCACAAAAGAGAAAAUUUAACAGAAGCCCACUAAAACCCAAAUGGAAAUAUCGAUAAAAAAACCGAAGCCCAGACAGGAUUGAUCAAUGUGAUGAGUAGCAGGCGUUAGAAUUCAAGGCUGGAGCAGUUAAUGCAGACAAAGAAAAAAAAUCAGGGACACAAAUUCAAGAAAAGAAUGAGUCUGGAGUCUUUUCGUAUAAAAGUGGAGUGGAAAAGAAUCAGAGAGUGACGAGCAAGAGAACCCAAAUAGGGAUUCUCAUGAGUGCAGACGUAAAAAACUGGAAAGAU